UACGUAGGGUGCAAGCGUUACUCGGAAUUACUGGGCGUAAAGCGUGCGUAGGUGGUGAGUUAAGUCUGUCGUGAAAGCCCCGGGCUCAACCUGGGAAUGGCGAUGGAUACUGGCUCGCUAGAGUGCGGUAGAGGAGAGUGGAAUUCCCGGUGUAGCAGUGAAAUGCGUAGAGAUCGGGAGAAACAUCAGUUGCGAAGGCGGCUCUCUGGACCAGCACUGACACUGAGGCACGAAAGCGUGGGGAGCAAACAGG
rnacentral:rRNA from 1 species